rnacentral:sRNA from 1 species
GUGACUGCAGUGUACUCUCAAUGAGGAAGAUAUAGAUACGAAAAGAACUAGAGCCGCAUCACAUGGGGACUUCUGCAAAUACAGAGACUCGGAUUAAAGGUGGAGAAGAUGGAGCUAAUGGAACUGCUUAUUUAAUACAUUUGAACAACUUUUGGGGUACUUAGGUGCUUUGAAACCUCCAUUUGAUUAAGCAAGAAUUCGCUUGCAAGUUAAGGGGCACUCCACAGAAGGAUGUUAUUAUCAAGUCAGAUGCACCGGACACUUUGUUAUUGGAGAAACAUGCAGAUUAUAUCGCAUCCUAUGGCUCAAAGAAAGAUGAUUAUGAAUACUGUAUGUCUGAGUAUUUGAGAAUGAGUGGCAUCUAUUGGGGUCUGACAGUAAUGGAUCUCAUGGGACAACUUCAUCGCAUGAAUAGAGAAGAGAUUCUGGCAUUUAUUAAGUCUUGCCAACAUGAAUGUGGUGGAAUAAGUGCUAGUAUCGGACAUGAUCCUCAUCUUUUAUACACUCUUAGUGCUGUCCAGAUUCUUACGCUGUAUGACAGUAUUAAUGUUAUUGACGUAAAUAAA